rnacentral:rRNA from 1 species
UGGGGAAUCUUGCGCAAUGGGCGAAAGCCUGACGCAGCCAUGCCGCGUGAAUGAUGAAGGUCUUAGGAUUGUAAAGUUCUUUCGCCCGUGACGAUGAUGACGGUAACGGGAGAAGAAGCCCCGGCUAACUUCGUGCCAGCAGCCGCGGUAAUACGAAGGGGGCUAGCGUUGUUCGGAAUUACUGGGCGUAAAGCGCGCGUAGGCGGUUUUGCAAGCCAGAGGUGAAAUGCCUGAGCUCAACUUAGGAAUUGCCUUUGGGACUGCGAGGCUUUGAGGACUGGAGAGGUGAGUGGAAUUCCCAGUGUAGAGGUGAAAUUCGUAGAUAUUGGGAGGAACACCAGUGGCGAAGGCGGCUCACUG